GACCGUGUGGCUCGGUUGGUAGAGCAUCGAUCUAGUAACUCGAGGGUCGCGGGUUCGGGACCGGGCCGCGACGGGCG